rnacentral:rRNA from 1 species
GCUAAUACCGGAUAACAACAGAUGAUGCCUAUCAACUGUUUAAAAGAAUGGUUCUGCUAUCACUCUUGGAUGGACCUGCGGUGCAUUAGCUAGUUGGUAGGGUAACGGCCUACCAAGGCGAUGAUGCAUAGCCGAGUUGAGAGACUGAUCGGCCACAUUGGGACUGAGACACGGCCCAACNCCUACGGGAGGCAGCAGUU